rnacentral:tRNA from 1 species
GCCUCAUUAGCUCAGUUGGCAGAGCGGCACCCUGUUAAGGUGAGGGUCGAUGGUUCGAGUCCAUCAUGAGGCG